UUUCCGGUUGAUCCCGCCGGACCUGACUGCUAUCGGAUUGAUACUAAGCCAUGCUAGUCUUUGUAGUAAUACAAGGCAUACGGCUCAGUAACGCGUAGUCAACCUACCCUAUGGACGGGGAUAAUCUCGGGAAACUGAGCAUAAUACCCGGUAGACCACUUAUCCUGGAAUGGUUAGUGGUUAAAAUGAUUCGUCGCCAUAGGAUGGGACUGCGGCCUAUCAGCUUGUUGGUGAGGUAAUGGCCCACCAAGGCGAUUACAGGUACGGGCUCUGAGAGGAGAGGCCCGGAGAUGGGUACUGAGACAAGGACCCAGGCCCUAUGGGGCGCAGCAGGCGAGAAAACUUUGCAAUGUGCGAAAGCACGACAAGGUUAAUCCGAGUGAUUUCUGCUAAAGGAAUCUUUUGUUAGUUCUAAAAAUACUAGUGAAUAAGGGGUGGGCAAGUUCUGGUGUCAGCCGCCGCGGUAAAACCAGCACCUCAAGUGGUCAGGAGGAUUAUUGGGCCUAAAGCAUCCGUAGCCUGUUCUAUAAGUUUGCGGUUAAAUCUGUACGCUCAACGUAUAGGCUGCUGUAAAUACUGUAGAACUAGGGAGUGGGAGAGGUAGACGGUACUCGGUAGGAAGGGGUAAAAUCCUUUGAUCUAUCGAUGACCACCUGUGGCGAAGGCGGUCUACCAGAACACGUUCGACGGUGAGGGAUGAAAGCUGGGGGAGCAAACCGGAUUAGAUACCCGGGUAGUCCCAGCUGUAAACGAUGCAGACUCGAUGAUGCAAUGGCAUAGAGCUAUUGCAGUAUCGCAGGGAAGCCGUUAAGUCUGCCGCCUGGGAAGUACGUACGCAAGUAUGAAACUUAAAGGAAUUGGCGGGGGAGCACCACAAGGGGUGAAGCCUGCGGUUCAAUUGGAGUCAACGCCGGG
rnacentral:rRNA from 1 species